rnacentral:tmRNA from 1 species
GGUAUGGCUAAGCAAAAGAUCGAACCCGCUAGGAUGCGCGCAGACCUGUCAAUGGGUCUUGCUCAUCUGAAGUUUGAACAUUGAAUAAGCUUGUAGAGCCUCGUUGAUGAUUUAGUAUGGACCGGAGUUCGAUUCUCCGCGCCUCCACCA